AUUGAACGCUGGCGGCAUGCCUUACACAUGCAAGUCGAACGGCAGCGGACCUUCGGGUGCCGGCGAGUGGCGAACGGGUGAGUAAUGCAUCGGAACGUACCUUUCAGUGGGGGAUAACGUAGCGAAAGUUACGCUAAUACCGCAUAUUCUGUGAGCAGGAAAGCAGGGGAUCGCAAGACCUUGCGCUGAUUGAGCGGCCGAUGUCAGAUUAGCUAGUUGGUGAGGUAAAGGCUCACCAAGGCGACGAUCUGUAGCGGGUCUGAGCGGAUGAUCCGCCACACUGGACCUGAGACACGGGCCAGACUCCUACGGGAGGCAGCAGUGGGGAAUUUUGGACAAUGGGGGCAACCCUGAUCCAGCCAUGCCGCGUGAGUGAAGAAGGCCUUCGGGUUGUAAAGCUCUUUCGGCCGGGAAGAAAUCGCACGGGCUAAUACCCUGUGUGGAUGACGGUACCGGAAUAAGAAGCACCGGCUAACUACGUGCCAGCCGCCGCCGUAAGAC
rnacentral:rRNA from 1 species